rnacentral:rRNA from 1 species
AACUCCUACGGGACGCAGCAGUGAGGAAUAUUGGUCAAUGGGCGGGAGCCUGAAUCAGCCAAGUCGCAUGAGGGAAGACGGUCCUAUGGAUUGUAAACCUCUUUAGGCGGGGAGCAAUGCCGGGCACGCGUGUCCGGAGGGAGAGUACCUGCAGAAUAAGCAUCGGCUAACUCCGUGCCAGCAGGCGCGGUAAUACGGAGGAUGCGAGCGUUAUCCGGAUUUAUUGGGUUUAAAGGGUGCGUAGGCGGAUUUUUAAGUCAGCGAUAAAAUGUCCGGGCUCAACCCGGGCCGGCCGUUGAAACUGG